rnacentral:rRNA from 1 species
UACAGAGGUCUCAAGCGUUGUUCGGAUUCAUUGGGCGUAAAGGGUGCGUAGGCGGCGCGGUAAGUCGGGUGUGAAAUCUCGGGGCUUAACUCCGAAAUUGCAUUCGAUACUGCCGUGCUUGAGGACUGGAGAGGAGACUGGAAUUUACGGUGUAGCGGUGAAAUGCGUAGAUAUCGUAAGGAAGACCAGUGGCGAAGGCGGGUCUCUGGACAGUUCCUGACGCUGAGGCACGAAGGUCAGGGGAGCAAACGGG